rnacentral:lncRNA from 1 species
UUUAAGAAAAAGAUACCAUGAACAGAAUGGAGUCACAGCCUUAAAUAAUUUUAAAUUUGGACCACUCUUUAUGAGGCUGUGUUAUGAGCUAGACCUUGAAAGACCUGCAGCAGAACUUAUCAAAGAUCAGGUGCUUUGGAAGUUUUGGUAGAAAUGAAAAAACAAGGUAUACCUUUCAACAAAGAAACCUAUCUACUUGCAGUUGCAAUAUGCUAUAAACUGAGGUAUUUUUGAUGUCAACUCUGCUGUGGUGGUGCAGGUGGCAGGAGUGCCACGACC